AUAUUAAACUCUAUUUUAUGGAACAUGGGCAUAGUUUAAAUUUUUUGUCAAUUAAUUUAGUAAAACUUCAUAAUACUCACUAAAUUGGUUGAUUAACCACUAUAAAAUCGUUAUUCUCUAGAAAAACGGAGACAACAAAGGUUUCAAACCUCUUUGACCUUUAUCAUAUAUUAGCGAAGGAUGCAAUUAUGCAUUAAAAUAGAAUUUUCAUUUUUAUUUUUUUUUUCUCAAAAUCUAUGGGUUAACCCCUACGAAAAUAUUUAAUUUUUUGGUAAAUGCUCUAUAUACUGAAGCCUAUGAUUUUU
rnacentral:lncRNA from 1 species